GCUACUGUAGCUCAGCUGGUAGAGCAACUGAUUCGUAAUCAGUAGGUCGCAAGUUCAAACCUUGUCAGUAGCUCCA
rnacentral:tRNA from 1 species